UACGUAGGGACCGAGCGUUGUCCGGAUUCAUUGGGCGUAAAGAGCUCGUAGGCGGCUGUUCAAGUCGAACGUGAAAACUCGGAGCUCAACUCCGAGCCUGCGUUCGAUACUGGACGGCUAGAGUCUGGUAGGGGGAUCUGGAAUUCUCGGUGUAGCGGUGAAAUGCGUAGAUAUCGAGAGGAACACCUGCGGCGAAGGCGGGUUGCUGGGCUGACACUGACGCUGAGGCGCGAAAGCUAGGGGAGCGAACGGG
rnacentral:rRNA from 1 species